rnacentral:rRNA from 1 species
AUUGAACGCUGGCGGCAGGCCUAACACAUGCAAGUCGAACGAGUGGCGGACGGGUGAGUAAUGUCUGGGAAACUGCCUGGUGGAGGGGGAUAACUACUGGAAACUGUAGCUUAUACCGCAUACCCUCGGAUGUGCCCAGAUGGGUUUCGCGUGGGGGUGGUGUAACGGCUCACCUAGGCGACGAUCCCUAGCUGGUCUGAGAGGAUGACCAGCCACACUGGAACUGAGACACGGUCCAGACUCCUACGGGAGGCAGCAGUGGGGAAUAUUGCACAAUGGGCGCAAGCCUGAUGCAGCCAUGCCGCGUGUAUGAAGAAGGCCUUCGGGUUGUAAAGUACUUUCAGCGGGGAGGCGUUACCCGCAGAAGAAGCACCGGCUAACUCCGUGCCAGCAGCCGCGGUAAUAC